rnacentral:rRNA from 1 species
GAAUAUUGGACAAUGGGGGGAACCCUGAUCCAGCCAUGCCGCGUGUGUGAAGAAGGCCUUUUGGUUGUAAAGCACUUUACGCGAUGAGGAGGAGCCCUUGGCUAAUACCCAAGAUGCUUGGAAGUUACCCGCAGAACAAUCCCCGGCCAACUCUGUGCCACCAGCCGCGGUAAUACAGAGGGUGCAAGCGUUAAUCGGAUUUACUGGGCGUAAAGCGCGCGUAGGUGGCCAAUUAAGUCAAAUGUGAAAUCCCCGAGCUCACCUUGGGAAGUGCAUUCGAUACUGGUUGGCUAGAGUAUGGGAGAGGAUGGUAGAAUUCCAGGUGUAGCGGUGAAAUGCGUAGAGAUCUGGAGGAAUACCGAUGGCGAAGGCAGCCAUCUGGCCUAAUACUGACACUGAGGUGCGAAAGCAUGGGGAGCAAACA